UACGUAGGCAGCAAGCGUUGUUCGGAGUUACUGGGCGUAAAGGGCGUGCAGGCGGUUUGUUAAGUGCAGGGUGAAAGCUCCCGGCUCAACUGGGAGAGGUCCUUGCAUACUGGCGAACUCGAGGGAGGCAGAGGAAAGUGGAAUUCCCGGUGUAGUGGUGAUAUGCGUAGAUAUCGGGAGGAACACCUGUGGCGAAGGCGGCUUUCUGGGCCUUACCUGACGCUGAGACGCGAAAGCGUGGGGAGCGAACCGG
rnacentral:rRNA from 1 species